GCGUCCUGACCAAACCCGGAGGGGAUCCUCCCGAGGCCCUUCACCCCGAGGAGCCAGUCCUGCAGCUGCCCUGACUCCUGGGGCUGGCGGCUGAGGCCCAGAGCCUGGGCAGGAGGCCAGGGGCAGAAAGGGAGGCCGCAGCCGGGGCCGGUGGCCUGAGGAGUGCGGGCCGGAGGCCUUCCCUAGGAGGACUCCGCUGACAGGAAUGGGAGCCAUGAAAGAGAAGAAAAUGGUCAAGAAAGGAAGCUUGCAUGGUCAUUAGAGAACCUUCACUCUGUUGGAUCACUCCAUCUGGGGGAAAUCAGCCACCAUGCUCUGAGGAUACUCAAGCAACCCUGUGGAGAGGUACACGUGCUAAGGAACUGAGGCUGCCCACCAACUUGCCGACCAUGUGGGUCGGCCAUCUUGGAAGUGGACCCUCCAGCUCCAGUCAAGUCUUAAGAUAGAAGCUGCACUGCAGCCCCAGCCAACAUCUUUACUGCAACCUCCUUAGAGGCACUGAACUGGAACCACUCUGCUUAGCUGCUCCUGAAUUCCUGACCCACAGAAAACUAUAUGAGAUAAUCAAUGUUUACUAUUGUUUUAAGCUGCUAAGUUUUGGGAAAACCUGUUGUGUAGCCAUAAAGCAUACACAGACCAUGGGGUUAUUCAUAGUAACUGUUCAGUAAAUGCCAGCCGGUGUUAUUCCCUUGACUGUGAAAAUCUUAGCCACGGUGUUUUUCAAGUGUCUGUCAUGUGCCAAGUAUGUGCCAUAUGCUGGGCAUAUGGGCUCCUAUCUCUGUGCCAUCAAUUUUCAGCAAGGCCUAGAGUGUUGGGGGCAGUCACCCCAAAUCCUAGACUCUUGGGGUUGAAAGACCCAGAGCUAUCGUUACUCAACCCAACUCUCAUUUUCAAGAUGAGCAAACUGAGACACAGAGUUCGUGUAACCCACCGUAGGUAUCGGAGCUGAUAUAGAAGAGCCUGAACUAGAACCCAGAUCCACUGGUGCCUGGGCAGCCCUUUUGUUGUUGCUCUGCCUUCUAAUAAGGGGCCAUUGCAUCUUACAGUUUAUAAAGCCCUUUCAGUAUUUUAUUUUGGGAUCAUCAAUGCAGAGCCCCCUCCAGACCCUAUUGGUAUCCAUAUCCCUAGGGCAGUCUAUUUCUCUAAAGGCCACCCACUCCCCAGAGCCCUUAUAGCUGCCCACAAUGGCUGUCUGGACCUGGAAACAACAGGAAGAGGCCUGUGGGGCUCCCGGCCCUGAGUGGUGAGAUCCUGAAAACACUCUGCUCUUCUUCCAUGGCACGUGGGCUUUACCCUGGCACCUGGGUCGUUGCAUCACAACCCCAGAUCCCACUGAUCUGCCUCUGCCAACUGUUUGGUCUUUAGCUUCUGGAUAAAGGACCUAUCGGUUUGAUCCUGUGAUUUGGGAUGACUCUUUGUUGAGGAUGACACUGAAGCAUGUGACAGAGAGCUCAAGCUGUAAGAAAAACAGUCUUCGUCCCCCACCCCCACCCCCCUCCCCCAACUUCUGAGGGUGUUCAGGCACCACAGAGGCUCCAGGGGAAAUCCAGAGGAAGAGGCAGGGCAGAUCCACCCUCUGGGACAGUCAUAGGGGCCAGGACAAGAACGGUACAUGCAUGGAAGGGAUCCAUGGUGUACCAAGGAAACAUUUAAGCAAGCCCAAGCUUUGCGGAAAUGAAAGGGGAAACGGAGGAUUGCUUCCUCUCCAGCAUCGCCACCCCCAGGCCUGUGUCAACCAGUCACCCACCUCUGGAAGUCUUCUUCUGAGAACCAGGCCACUGAGGACAUGGGGACCCUCGGGGAUCAUUUCUUAAUGAUUGAUCCAUUUGGCAAACAAGAAACUGAAGGUGGGUGUGCCUGGCUGGGCAUCACAUUGCUGGUCUCUGGCAGUUUUCUCCUCCAACCAAGAGGUCUCAAAAUCUCAGGUUUCCAGAAAGUUCCCUCUCUAGUGACAGUCAAAAACAGCACAGACUUUGGGGUUAAAUCAUCCUUUCAGCUCUGCCUACACUAACUACGGGACUUAGGGAAACUCCAUAAUCAAUCUGUGCCUCAGUUUCCUCAUCUGUAAAAUGGGGAUAAGUAUGACCUACUCAUGGUUGUUGUGAGGACUGAAUGAAAUAGUACCAUGAAGCUUUUAGUAGAUGCCCAGACUCUUGCAAGCAGUAUAUCAAUCAAAAAUAGUGUAAUAAUUGGGAAUGCAAGCUGGUGCAGCCACUCUGGAAAACAAUAUGGAAGUUCCUCAAAAAACUGAAAAGAGAACUACCCUAUGACCCAGCAAUUGCACU